UGUGGGAGCUGGCUUGCCUGCGAUGCGGACCACUCGGUAUAGCUGAUGUACCGAGUCGAUGCCAUCGCAGGCAAGCCAGCUCCCACA
rnacentral:antisense_RNA from 2 species